rnacentral:rRNA from 1 species
UACGUAGGGCGCAAGCGUUAUCCGGAAUUAUUGGGCGUAAAGAGCUCGUAGGCGGUUUGUCGCGUCUGCCCGUGAAAGUCCGGGGCUCAACUCCGGAUCUGCGGUGGGUACGGGCAGACUAGAGUGAUGUAGGGGAGACUGGAAUUCCUGGUGUAGCAGUGAAAUGCGUAGAUAUCAAGAGGAACACCAGUGGCGAAGGCGAGUCCCUGGACGAUACCUGACACUGAGGCACGAAAGCCAAGGGAGCAAACAGG